AAUGACUGUUCAUUUGACAGAUUUUGUCAGAGCUCGUGAAAAUAGUGAAAUAUUUAAGGUACAAUUGAUUGGAUUACGCUUAUUUCUGUACAGGUACCUGGUACGUUGUAAAAAUUGAAGUUUUCUUGCUUUGGAACUGCUUUAUACUGCUGGUAACGGAACAUUUUCAUGAGAUUACAAAAUAACUUUCUCUGGACUCUGGCAAACUGUGGAUUUAACUGGGAGCUGCCUCUCCACGCUGUACAUCUUGCAAAACCCAAG